rnacentral:rRNA from 1 species
CGGGACGGGUGAGUAACGCGUGGGUAACCUGCCCCAUACAGGGGGAUAACAGUUAGAAAUGACUGCUAAUACCGCAUAAGCGCACUGCAUCGCAUGAUGAAGUGUGAAAAACUGAGGUGGUAUGGGAUGGGCCCGCGUCUGAUUAGCCAGUUGGCGGGGUAACGGCCCACCAAAGCGACGAUCAGUAGCCGACCUGAGAGGGUGACCGGCCACAUUGGGACUGAGACACGGCCCAAACUCCUACGGGAGGCAGCAG